rnacentral:rRNA from 1 species
AGAGUUUGAUCAUGGCUCAGGAUGAACGCUAGCGGGAGGCUUAACACAUGCAAGUCGAGCGGGAUUAGCAGCAAUGCUAUGAGAGCGGCGCACGGGUGCGUAACGCGUAUGCAACCUGCCUUAUACAAAGGGAUAGCCCAUGGAAACGUGGAUUAAUAUCUUAUAGGACUUGAGAAUCGCAUGGUUUUCAAGUUAAAACUGAGGUGGUAUAAGAUGGGCAUGCGUCUGAUAGGUAGUUGGUAGGGUAACGGCCUACCAAGCCGACGAUCAGUAGGGGUUCUGAGAGGAUUACCCCCCACACUGGUACUGAGACACGGACCAGACUCCUACGGGAGGCAGCAGUGAGGAAUAUUGGUCAAUGGGCGAGAGCCUGAACCAGCCAUCCCGCGUGCAGGAUGACGGCCCUAUGGGUUGUAAACUGCUUUUCUGCUCCAAGAAACCCCCGGUCGUGACCGGGGUUGACGGUAGAGUAGGAAUAAGCAUCGGCUAACUCCGUGCCAGCAGCCGCGGUAAUACGGAGGAUGCAAGCGUUAUCCGGAUUCAAUGGGUUUAAAGGGUGCGCAGGUGGGAAUGUAAGUCAGUGGUGAAAUACUGCCGCUUAACGGUAGAGCUGCCAUUGAUACUGCGUUUCUUGAGUAUGGUUGAGGUAGGUGGAAUGUAUUGUGUAGCGGUGAAAUGCAUAGAUAUUGCGCAGAACGCCGAUUGGGGAGCCAGCUCGCCAGCUGAGUAUUGACGCUGAGGCACGAAAGCGUGGGGAUCAAACAGGAUUAGAUACCCUGGUAGUCC